rnacentral:misc_RNA from 1 species
GAUGAAGAACGUAGCGAAAUGCGAUAAGUAAUGUGAAUUGCAGAAUUCAGUGAAUCAUCGAAUCUUUGAACGCACAUUGCGCCCGGCAGUAAUCUGCCGGGCAUGCCUGUCCGAGCGUCAUUUCUGCCCUCGAGCGAGUCCAGCAUCUAGGUGCUGGGCCCGCCCGGCGUUGGGGCACUACGGGAAGCCCUGUGCUGUCCCCCGUAGGCCCCGAAAUGAAGUGGCGGUCCUGCCGCGGCGCCCCCUGCGUAGUAUAACAGCUCGCUUCGGGACCCGGUGGAGGCCUGCCGUCAAACCUUACUCUCUAAGUUUGACCUCGGAUCAGGUAGGGUUACCCGCUGAACUUAAGCAUAUCAAUAGCGGAGGA